rnacentral:rRNA from 1 species
CAAUAGCGUAUAUUAAAGUUGUUGCAGUUAAAAAGCUCGUAGUUGGAUUUCGGGGUGGCCUGGCUGGUCCGCCGCAAGGUGAGUACUGGUCAGCCGCCCUUCCUCUCGAAAGCCCCGACCGCUCUUUACUGCAGUGGUCGGGUAGUUCGGGACGUUUACUUUGAAAAAAUUAGAGUGUUCAAGGCAGGCUAUCGCCUGAAUACAUUAGCAUGGAAUAAUGGAAGAGGACCUCGGUCCUAUUUUGUUGGUUUCUAGGGCCGAAGUAAUGAUUAAGAGGGACAGUUGGGGGCAUUCGUAUUUAAUUGUCAGAGGUGAAAUUCUUGGAUUUAUGAAAGACGAACUAGUGCGAAAGCAUUUGCCAAGGAUGUUUUCAUUAA